UCAUUGUCCUGAUAUCCACUACCUGAAAAACCAAGCCUAAAUGUUUCACGAGUUGAUUCCAGGACCUGCAUAGACAUGGAUCUCUUCUUCAAUGUAUCCUCUACAGGGAAGAAAAGGAAGGCACAAGAUAGCCAACAAGACAUAGCCAGGAAAAGCCUCUUGCACCAAAUGAGACAAUAAUAUCAAGUAAAUGAACAUAUAUCCAACUCAUCUUUUGAAAAAAAAAUUGAGAGUUGAUAGAGAAGUGACACCGACAAUGAGGCUGAAGAGGGGGAACCUAAGAGCCCUGCAAGGGGUUGUUGUGUGCACCACGACUCAUUCUUGGCCCUGAAUGACUCCUAAGGAAGUGGCUGCAGCUUUCAACUCCUCAUGGGAGGGAGCAUGCAAGUGAACGAGGUGGGAACUGGAAUGCAUGAACUCUGGAAACAACCACCCACUUCGGAGCUGACAGGAGCAAACUUCAAUCACUCAGACUUCCUGCGCUUCAUCCAUCAUGAGAGGGAGCACACAGGGUCCCCAUCUGUCCCAUGCAGAUCCUACAUUACAGCUGCAGCCUCAUGGCUACCUCUUAAUUAACUGCCUCUGUGACUAAUGUUCAGAAAAACAAUCAGUUGUCAGCAGACCUGCAU
rnacentral:lncRNA from 10 species